rnacentral:rRNA from 1 species
CGAUUAUUAUUUUAGGUCAGGCCUGCUCAAUGAUUAAUGUUUAAAUAAAUUAAAUGGCCGCAGUAUUUUGACUGUGCGAAGGUAGCAUAAUCAUUUGUCUUUUAAUUGGAGGCUUGUAUGAAUGGUUCGAUGAAAUAUAAACUUUCUUUACAUCAUAAUUAUUGAAUUUAAUUUUUAAGUCAAAAAGCUUAAAUUUUUUUAUAGGACGAGAAGACCCUAUAGAAUUUUAUUAUUUGUUAUGUUUUAAUUAAUUUGGUUAUUUAUUAUUUGGAAUGUUUACAAAUAAUUUUGUUGGGGCGACAGGGAAAUUUAAAUAACUUUCUUUAUUUAUAUUUUAUUUAUUUAUAUUUUAAUGAUCCUAGUUUAGGAUAGUAAGAUUAAAUUACCUUAGGGAUAACAGCGUAAUUCUUUUGGAGAGUUCUUAUCGAUAAUGGAGUUUGCGACCUCGAUGUUGGAUUAAAAUAAGUUUUUAGGUGUAGUAGUUUAAUGACUAGGUCUGUUCG